rnacentral:lncRNA from 13 species
AUUUUCCAUGAGCAGCAAUUCUAAGUAACAACAAAGGUGUUGCACACGGGGCCACACGCAGCCAGCAGGCUUUCAGAGGACUCUUGAGGUGGAAAUGAAAACAGGAUUCACCUGUGAAGCCAUCUGGUGCUGCUCAGCAUCAGUACUGUGCAUGUCAGACAGAACUGAAAGGCCAGCGCCCUUCAGAAGGAAGCACUCAGUGAGGUCCCAGACAUCCCCCAACAGGAGGAGGGAAAAGAGUCAGCCACGGGACCAAGAGGUGUGGCCUACCUUCCCCACGAGAGCCUGUGAUGGGAUUCUCUUCUGCAAAGACAGGAGCUGUAGGACCAAGAUGCAGAACUUCAAUCUGUUUGAGAACAAAACCAAUGGACAAUAUCCAGUUUGAGGAACCGUGUCGGGAGCUCCCACUGAAGGAACCAAGAAGAGGACAGGCCCCAGCCUGAAGAACAUCUUCUGUGGACUGCUGUAAGCAUUCACCAAAAGACAAAGGGUGCCACUUCUAGAUAGAUGCCCCAAAUAAUUAAAAACAAGGUCUCAAACACUCAAGUAAGGUACUCAUGCACUCAUGCUCACAGCGGCAUCGUUCACAAUAGCCAAAGGUGGAAGCACCCAAGGAUUCAUCAACAGACAAAUGCACAAAGUGUGGUCUAAACAGACAGUGGGAGAUUAUUCAGCCAUAAUAAAAGGGAAUGAAAUUCCGAUACA